rnacentral:misc_RNA from 1 species
GUAGGUGAACCUGCGGAAGGAUCAUUAACACUGUUUUUCAAAACAACAGUUUUAAAACCACAAAAACUAAUUCGUGAACACGAUUUUUAGAUCUUCUAAAAAUCGUCCCUCUCCCCUAUUUUUUUUACAAAACCCCAAUAACCAACCUUUCAACUCUUUCCAUUUGGAAGAACUGAAAAAACAAUCAAAAAACAAUAACAAAAAAGAAACAUUCAAGUUUUUUUUUAUUAUUAUUUUUACGAAAUGCUGA